rnacentral:rRNA from 1 species
CCUACGGGGGGCAGCAGUAAGGAAUAUUGGUCAAUGGACGAAAGUCUGAACCAGCCAUGCCGCGUGGAGGAUGAAGGUCCUCUGGAUUGUAAACUUCUUUUAUAUGGGACGAAAAAAGGCCUUUCUAGGCCGUCUGACGGUACCAUAUGAAUAAGCACCGGCUAACUCCGUGCCAGCAGCCGCGGUAAUACGGAGGGUGCCAGCGUUACUGGGUUUCACUGGGGUUUAGGUGGGUUGAUAAGUCAGGGGUGAAAUCUCCGAGCUUAACUUGGAAACUGCCAUUGAUACUAUUAAUCUUGAAUAUGGUGGAGGUUAGCGGAAUAUGUCAUGUAGCGGUGAAAUGCUUAGAUAUGACAUAGAACACCAAUUGCGAAGGCAGCUGGCUACACAUAUAUUGACACUGAGGCACGAAAGCGUGGGGAUCAAACAGGAUUAGAUACCCGGGUAGUC